AGACUAGAAAACUUAGCGUUUGUUAUGAAAAUGCAGUGUGAACGCUGGAAGUUUUUGGUGAAAAUGGCUGAAGUCAACUGCAGAAGACCUGCAGAAAGGCUUCAUGUCAUACCACGGCUAAUUCCUGAAAUUCCUGCCCUCCUCGCGCUUCAAACGAGCGGGCUCCAGGAAGGAGACGAGGCAGCACAAAACAAACAAAAGGAGAGGAAAAGAAGAAAACAACAACAACAACAACAGAGAAGCAAACGAGAAACGGCUAAUUCAGCUUCUUUUUUUAAUUAAGACAGAGAUAAUAAUUGCUCCACCUGCCUCCCUGAAUGCGCCUGUCGGACUUGUCAGAGUUUCAGCAGGCUCGUCAUUGACACCAUCUUCAUCCCACCUCUGGAUGUCCUACAGGGAGCCGUGCUUCUCGUUAGAGGCUCUCCCUCCUUUCACCGCCAGCAGCCAUCCCAACUCUAACUCUACACCCACUCCUCGCUCUGUGGUCCUCUUCCUGACACCCCACCACGUCUGCGGAGUGGGUGCCGGCUCCCUCCCCGAGGGGUGGGAGCGAGGAGCUGGGAGAUGGACUUGACAAACCCCUGGAGAACGACGCC